rnacentral:rRNA from 1 species
AUUGAACGCUGGCGGCAGGCCUAACACAUGCAAGUCGGACGGUAGCACAGAGGAGCUUGCUCCUCGGGUGACGAGUGGCGGACGGGUGAGUAAUGUCUGGGGAUCUGCCCGAUAGAGGGGGAUAACCACUGGAAACGGUGGCUAAUACCGCAUAACGUCGCAAGACCAAAGAGGGGGACCUUCGGGCCUCUCACUAUCGGAUGAACCCAGAUGGGGUUAGCUAGUAGGCGGGGCAAUGGCCCACCUAGGCGACGAUCCCUAGCUGGUGUUAGAGGGUGAGCUGCCACACUGGGACUGAGACACGGUCCAGAGUCCUACGGGAGGCAGCAGGGGGGAAUAUUGCACAAUGGGCGCAAGCCUGAGGCAGCCAGGCCGCGUAGAUGAAGAAGGCCUUCGGGUUGUAAAGUACGUUCAGCGGGGAGGAAGGCGGUGAGGUUAAUAACCUCGCCGAUUGACGUUACCCGCAGAAGAAGCACCUGCUAACUCCGUGCCAGCCGCCGCUGUAAGAC